CCUUUGUACACAUGUGUGUCAUGUGGCCACAGCGCUUUAUGUUUGACGGUGAACGGGUUUCAGCGUGGAAGGGGGCUGAGGAGUGACAGGUCGUGAGUGCUCUGCCGGAGGACAGGAUCUCAGCAGGCCUGGGGAUGUUGUGAAUGAUGCUGUUGCAGACACAAAACAAAAUCGAUUACUUAUGGAUAAGAUAUCUUGAAGAUCUUUAGGAGAGUGUACAACUACUUGGGGUGCAAGUUGUGGACUGGUGAUCUGGUGACUUGGACUCGAAAUUGAAUCCCGCAGAAACUUGGGAUUCGACGUCGUCUCGAGGUCGCAAAAAGGCCCCCAGAGUGAUGAAUGCGCCUGUGGUGUGAACAUGCGAGGUAACUCCAGCCUUCAGGACAACAUGUCUGCCAGCCAGGAGGCGGGGAGGAUGAUGAUGACGAGGAGGAGGAAGAGGAGGCAGACGGUGUACACAACAGACCAAGAACCGGGGAGCAAAGAUGUGGGGAUAUCUGACCAGUCUCUGACCUCCUCCUUCAGCUCAGAGAAUGAGUCCCAGGGGGGACGCCCUGCAGGGUGCCACCUGGGCCAUGGGGGCCAGAGGGGUCACGGGGGUCAUCGCCCCCAGCCCAGGUCAAGAUCCAGGUCUCCCUUGCGAUUGGCCAGCCAAAGCCCCUCCCCUUCCGCCUCCAAGAGAUGGAGCCCAAAGCCCGCCCACAUGCGGCGAAACAUCAGGAAGCUGCUCAGGGACCACCAGCUGGAGGCAGGUACCAAGGUGGCCCAGCAGGAGGAGCUAGAGAGGAAACAUCGCCUGAGACACAGAGGAAGCAGGACAGCCCUGAACCCCUGCUACCGCAAUGCACAAGUG
ensembl:lncRNA